rnacentral:sRNA from 1 species
UACCUGUGUAACUACAAUUGAGUCCCUGAGCUACCCUCAGUUGUUUGUAGUACUAACUACUGUUCAUGGACCUGCUAGCAAGUCAGUUUCCAUGUUCCAUAUUGUGCUAAG